rnacentral:rRNA from 1 species
CAUGCAAGUCGAACGAGCGAGAGAGAGCUUGCUUUCUCAAGCGAGUGGCGAACGGGUGAGUAACGCGUGAGGAACCUGCCUCAAAGAGGGGGACAACAGUUGGAAACGACUGCUAAUACCGCAUAAGCCCACAGGUCGGCAUCGACCAGAGGGAAAAGGAGCAAUCCGCUUUGAGAUGGCCUCGCGUCCGAUUAGCUAGUUGGUGAGGUAAUGGCCCACCAAGGCGGCGAUCGGUAGCCGGACUGAGAGGUUGAACGGCCACAUUGGGACUGAGACACGGCCCAGACUCCUACGGGAGGCAGCAGUGGGGAAUAUUGCACAAUGGGGGAAACCCUGAUGCAGCGACGCCGCGUGGAGGAAGAAGGUCUUCGGAUUGUAAACUCCUGUUGUUGAGGAAGAUAAUGACGGUACUCAACAAGGAAGUGACGGCUAACUACGUGCCAGCAGCCGCGGUAAAACGUAGGUCACAAGCGUUGUCCGGAAUUACUGGGUGUAAAGGGAGCGCAGGCGGGAAGACAAGUUGGAAGUGAAAUCUAUGGGCUCAACCCAUAAACUGCUUUCAAAACUGUUUUUCUUGAGUAGUGCAGAGGUAGGCGGAAUUCCCGGUGUAGCGGUGGAAUGCGUAGAUAUCGGGAGGAACACCAGUGGCGAAGGCGGCCUACUGGGCACCAACUGACGCUGAGGCUC